CUCUCCCUUCAACCUGACCUAUUUGUGUAUGAGCCUGGUAUUGUGCUAUUCUGUGCAGUAGCAACAGGCUGUAGGCUUCAGCCCCAGGCUCCUUGUAAUAGUGUGCAGGCAAGGAAACUUUGUACCUGUGUUCCAGUAAUGGAAAUUUGUGCCACCUUUGUGUUGAAAUAGCAGUACAUUUGGUACAGUUGGGCUGGUGCUGUUGAAACCACUACACAGCGUAUGGCAAUUGUGCAUGGCACUUGAGGAAGUAGCGGACGGCAGAGGUAGGAGUUAUUUGUGGCAAAUAAGUGGUGUAUCAUAAGGACUAUGGGAUCAUUUCUGCCCAUUAACACUGACAUGCUUCCCCUGAAACGUGUUGAAGGGGAAGUGGAGUGUUUUUUGGGGGAAGGAUAUUUUGCUUUAAUUUUUGUAGGUGCAUAGAGCCAGUCGGAGUACCAACCACCCUUGUGUGGCAUGGAAGUAAAAAAGACUUGAGGAGGAGCCAAGUCUGGCUUAGUGUGUUUUCUGUACCUGGGGUCAUGGUUUAGCUCUCUGCCCAACUAGCCACAAUCUGUAAACCUAGAACAAACCUUGGAUAGAGCUCGUGAUUAGUGAGGAGAACGCUUUACUACAAGCUUGAGUUCAGAUGUUGCAGUAAGUCAAACCUUGGCCUAACUUGGUGCAGCUUGAGAGUAAAAGAGACUGGGGAGGAGAAAAGCAGUUAUGAGGUCCUGAUAAGCCAUACUUUGGCUUACUAUGACAUGCAAAUCAGGCUGCUGUGUGCAUAAUGUGGCAUAUGGCAUGGGGGGGGGGGAGAGAAGUCCAGAAUGUGGUUUCCCAUAGUGAUUCCUUGUUUUCCAAUAAAACACUGGAAAAAUCAAACCCUUCUCUUUCCCUCGCCUCAACUUAACUGAAUGAAGAGUGCAUGGUAGCAACUGCUUUUCAUUUCUGCCCAUAUAUGGAUUCUGGUGCAAGUUCAAAAUGUAAACUCUGAAAAUGCAGUGCCUUUACUGCACGUGAGGCAGAAUGUUUAAUUUACAGGAUUGGAAGGGGCCUUUCUUUUGAGAGAGAGAGCCAGAGGGGAAAAUGCUGUAUUCAUGCUCUGAACAAAAUGCAAAUACCGGUAGUACUUUUUGGAUCCAGGUGCAUUGAAUUGUAUGUUAACCUUUCUCCCAACUUACGGUACGUGCAGACUGAUCAUUUAAAAGAAAGCUAUUGUUAAUCAGAAUUUGCAUUUGGGCAAAGUUGUAAAAACUAUAUAAAACAUCUAUUCUGAAAAAAAGCAAGUUAUAAGUUUGACUGGAGAAUAUUUACUUUGACUUGCAGCACUAAUUAUAUUUGAUCCAUUGAUGUCCAGCCGUUAGGAAACAUUAGCACUAUACAAAUAAUAAGGAAAUACAAUGAUCACAGUUAUUCACUGCCUACAAAGAAAUACUGCCAAAGCUAUUAAUUACAUAUGAUUUUUAUUGGUAGGCAAUCAUUUCUUAAGCCUACAUAUCUAAACCUUAAGGCACUUAGAAAAGCUUCUUGGUAUUUUCAACCCUAUCCAUUGGCUAUGAGCCCAGAAAGAUCUGACAAGUUGAUUCAUAACAUGUGUAGAAAAUGGUUUGUACUGCAAGUAAAUUAAACAUAUUAAUAACCAAA